rnacentral:rRNA from 1 species
GAUGAACGCUAGCUACAGGCUUGACACAUGCAAGUCGAGGGGAAACGACAUUGGAAGCUUGCUUCCGAUGGGCGUCGACCGGCGCACGGGUGAGUAACGCGUAUCCAACCUGCCCAUCACUUGGGGAUAACCUUGCGAAAGUAAGACUAAUACCCAAUGAUAUCUCUAGAAGACAUCUGAAAGGGAUUAAAGAUUUAUCGGUGAUGGAUGGGGAUGCGUCUGAUUAGCUUGUUGGCGGGGUAACGGCCCACCAAGGCGACGAUCAGUAGGGGUGCUGAGGGGAAGGUCCCCCACAUUGGAACUGAGACACGGUCCAAACUCCUACGGGAGGCAGCAGUGAGGAAUAUUGGUCAAUGGGCGAGAGCCUGAACCAGCCAAGUAGCGUGCAGGAUGACGGCCCUAUGGGUUGUAAACUGCUUUUAUAAGGGAAUAAAGUGAGUCUCGUGAGACUUUUUGCAUGUACCUUAUGAAUAAGGACCGGCUAAUUCCGUGCCAGCCGCCGCGGUAA